rnacentral:rRNA from 1 species
GAUGAACGCUGGCGGCGUGCUUAACACAUGCAAGUCGAACGGUGAAGGCGGAGCUUGCUCUGUUGGAUCAGUGGCGAACGGGUGAGUAGCACGUGAGCAAUCUGCCCCUGACUCUGGGAUAAGCGCUGGAAACGGCGUCUAAUACUGGAUACGAGCUGCGAAGGCAUCUUCAGCAGCUGGAAAGAACUUCGGUCAGGGAUGAGCUCGCGGCCUAUCAGCUUGUUGGUGAGGUAACGGCUCACCAAGGCGUCGACGGGUAGCCGGCCUGAGAGGGUGACCGGCCACACUGGGACUGAGACACGGCCCAGACUCCUACGGGAGGCAGCAGUGGGGAAUAUUGCACAAUGGGCGAAAGCCUGAUGCAGCAACGCCGCGUGAGGGACGACGGCCUUCGGGUUGUAAACCUCUUUUAGCAGGGAAGAAGCGAAAGUGACGGUACCUGCAGAAAAAGCGCCGGCUAACUACGUG